rnacentral:rRNA from 1 species
UGGGGAAUAUUGGACAAUGGGCGCAAGCCUGAUCCAGCAAUGCCGCGUGAGUGAUGAAGGCCUUCGGGUUGUAAAGCUCUGUCGGGAGGGACGAAAAAGCGCGGGUAACGCCGUGACUUGACGGUACCUCCAAAGGAAGCACCGGCUAACUCUGUGCCAGCAGCCGCGGUAAUACAGAGGGUGCAAGCGUUGUUCGGAAUUACUGGGCGUAAAGCGCGUGUAGGCUGCAAUGUAAGUCGAACGUGAAAGCCCUCAGCUUAACUGAGGAAGUGCGUUUGAUACUGCAUCGCUUGAGUGUCGGAGGGGAUGGCGGAAUUCCCGGUGUAGAGGUGAAAUUCGUAGAUAUCGGGAGGAACACCUGUGGCGAAGGCGGCCAUCUGGACGACGACUGACGCUGAGACGCGAAAGCGUGGGUAGCAAACAG